rnacentral:rRNA from 1 species
UUAGCUGGUCUGAGAGGACGAUCAGCCACACUGGAACUGAGACACGGUCCAGACUCCUACGGGAGGCAGCAGUGGGGAAUUUUCCGCAAUGGGCGAAAGCCUGACGGAGCAACGCCGCGUGGGUGAUGAAGUCUUUCGGGACGUAAAACCCUUUCAGCAGGGACGAACACAAUGACGGUACCUGCAGAAGAAGCAUCGGCUAACUACGUGCCAGCAGCCGCGGUAAUACGUAGGAUGCAAGCGUUGUCCGGAUUUAUUGGGCGUAAAGAGAACGUAGGUGGUUUCUUAAGUUUGGUCUUAAAGACCGGGGCUCAACCCCGGGAAUGGACUGAAUACUGGGAGACUAGAGGAUGUUAGAGGAAAGUGGAAUUCCAAGUGUAGCGGUGAAAUGCGUAGAUAUUUGGAGGAACACCAGUGGCGAAAGCGGCUUUCUGGGACAUUCCUGACACUGAGGUUCGAAAGCUCGGGGAGCAAACAGGAUUAGAUACCCUGGUAGUCCGAGCCGUAAACGAUGGACACUAGGUGUCAUGGGUAUCGACCCCCGUGGUGCCGUAGCUAACGCGUUAAGUGUCCCGCCUGGGGAGUACGGUCGCAAGACUGA